UAGUGGCCAAAAAGGUGUCACUGGA
rnacentral:piRNA from 1 species